rnacentral:rRNA from 1 species
GACGAACGCUGGCGGCGUGCCUAAUACAUGCAAGUCGAACGCAGCGGGGACGGGUGAGUCACACGUGGGUAACCUCCCAUCAGAGGGGAUAACGCUUGGAAACAGGUGCUAAACCGAUACUGAUGGAUGGACCCGCGGUGCAUUAGCUAGGUGGUGGGGUAACGGCUCACCAAGGCCAGGGUGGAUAGCCGACCGUAGAGGGUGAACGGCCCCACUGGGACUCGGCACCGGCCCGGAGUCCUGCGGGGGGCAUCAGUAGGGAAGCGUCGGCAAUGGACGAAAGUCUGACCGAGCAACGCCGCGUGAGUGAAGAAGGUUUUCGGAUCGUAAAACUCUGUUGUUAGAGAAGCGGUAUCUAACCAGAAAGCCACGGCUAACGACGUGCCAGCAGCCGCGGUAAUAC